rnacentral:rRNA from 1 species
GACGUAGGGCGCGAGCGUUGUCCGGAAUUAUUGGGCGUAAAGAGCUCGUAGGCGGUUCGUCGCGUCGGCUGUGAAAUCCCGAGGCUCAACCUCGGGUCUGCAGUCGAUACGGGCGGACUGGAGUUCGGCAGGGGAGACUGGAAUUCCUGGUGUAGCGGUGAAAUGCGCAGAUAUCAGGAGGAACACCGGUGGCGAAGGCGGGUCUCUGGGCCGAUACUGACGCUGAGGAGCGAAAGCGUGGGGAGCGAACAGG